CCCGCCUUGACUAUAUUAGCAUGGAAUAAUAAUAUAGGAUCUUGGUUCUAUUUUGUUGGUUUCUAGAGCUAAGAUAAUGAUUAAUAGGGACAAUUGGGGGCAUUCGUAUUAACGCGUCAGAGGUGAAAUUCUUGGAUUGCGUUACGACGAACUACUGCGAAAGCAUUUGCCAAGGAUGUUUUCAUUGAUCAAGAACGAAAGUAAGGGGAUCGAAGAUGAUUAGAUACCGUCCUAGUCUUUACCUUAAACUAUGCCAACUAGAGAUGGGGCGUCGUUCUUUAUUGAAUCCCUUCGCCCCCUAAGAAAAAAUCAAAUCCUUUGGGUUCCGGGGGAAUAAGGGCCCCAGGGUUAAACUUAAAAGAAUUUAACGAAGGGCACCACCCAGAAUGGAACCCGGCGCUUAAUUUUAACUCACCCCGGAAAACUCUACCAGGUCCGACCAUAUAAGGGAUGGACGAAUUGAUAGCUCUUUCUUGAUUCUGGGUGGGGGUGGCAGGGCCGUCCUAAGUGGUGGAAUGAAUUGGCCGCGUAAAUUCCUUUACCGACGAGAAACCUUACCACUUAAUAAUGUACCCUAUACCUUCGAUUACUUAUCGCUUCUCUUAGAGACAUUUCGCAUGUCUACUGAAGGAAUUUUGAGGCAUAACCAGGCUGUUAAUGCCCUAGGAGGUUCGGGCUGCCGCCCGCCUACCUGAAGGCUUCCUCCAAGUUAACAACCUGCUCCGAAAGGUUUGGGGAAUCCUUUUUAAAACGGCUUCUGGAUGGGGGAUAAAUAAUUGCAAUUAUUAAUCCUUCAACGAGGAAUUCCAAGUAAGGGCGAAUCUCCGUUUCUCGCCGAUUACGUCCCUGCCUCUUGUAAAAACGGCGGUCGUUUAAAGAAAUGAAGAAUCG
rnacentral:rRNA from 1 species